rnacentral:rRNA from 1 species
UACGGAGGAGGCAAGCGUUAUCCGGAAUUAUUGGGCGUAAAGCGUCCGCAGGUGGCUAUUCAAGUCUGCGGUCAAAGACUGGGGCUUAACCCUGGAAAGGCCGUGGAAACUGAAGAGCUAGAGUGCAGUAGGGGUAGAGGGAAUUCCCGGUGCAGCGGUGAAAUGCGUAGAGCUCGGGAAGAACAUCGGUGGCGAAAGCAGCUUGCUGGGACGGUACUGACGCUGAGACGCGAAAGCGUGGGGAGCAAACAGG